UGAGGUUGAACUUAGGUCUAGACGACCAUGAGUCAAACUUAUCUGUCAGUACAAGAAACAGAUUGUAUGAGAUCUAAAUUAAUUCGUCAGCAGCAGUAAUAUAUAUUUGAUAUUUGUGAGAUGUAUGAACGCCAUGGUUGCCUAGUGACUGAGUAACUCCGAUUCAAUCACAUGGUUCAUUCUGGGAGUUGAGUCACAAGACUAUCUAGAACCUAAGAUCAUUAUGUUAAAACAUUUGAAUGAGGCCCCCAGUUUAUGGGUCCCCCAAUUCCUGAAAAGUUAAUCAAAAAAAUGAGCUUAUAUAUUUGCAUGGUCGUAAAAGUAUAACGUUUAAGUACAUGACCCAA
rnacentral:lncRNA from 1 species